UGGGGAAUCUUGCACAAUGGGCGAAAGCCUGAUGCAGCGACGCCGCGUGAGCGAUGAAGGCCUUCGGGUUGUAAAGCUCUGUGGGGAGGGACGAAUAAGCGUUGGCUAAUAUCCAACGUUAUGACGGUACCUCCUUAGCAAGCACCGGCUAACUCUGUGCCAGCAGCCGCGGUAAGACAGAGGGUGCAAACGUUGUUCGGAAUCACUGGGCGUAAAGCGCGUGUAGGCGGCUAUAUAAGUCGGACGUGAAAUCCCACGGCUCAACCGUGGAAGUGCGCUCGAAACUGUGUAGCUUGAGUCCUGGAGAGGAAGACGGAAUACUUGUUGUAGAGGUGAAAUUCGUAGAUAUCAGGUAGAACACCAGUGGCGAAGGCGGUCUUCUGGACAGUGACUGACGCUGAGACGCGAAAGCGUGGGGAGCAGACAGG
rnacentral:rRNA from 1 species